rnacentral:lncRNA from 1 species
UGGUGGUGAAAUAGGGGUAUAUAGGGUUAGUUGGUGGUGAAAUAGGGGUAUAUAGGGUUAGUUGGUGGUGAAAUAGGGGUAUAUAGGUGUAGGGUUAGUUAGUGGUGAAAUGUUUAUUUUUCCAUUUCUUUUCAAAAACAAUGUAUGAACAGGAAUAAGGAAGAUAAUUGAAUGCAGGUAGGCCGUGACUAAUCUCACACUUUAGUACAUUAGGUGGUGGUGUAUGCACCUUGAAGUUGGAUGCGAUCCGCCAAUCCCAGAGAAGACGAAGAAUUUAAUCAGGUGAGUUUUUCUGGGGCUACAACAAAAAUGUGUUCUGUUUGGGCGUAGUCGAGGAGGUGUGAAACACUGCUUUAGAGAUUCCAUUUUAGAGUUUACUAUGAGGACUGUGAUCUUGUGUUGACGCACCACAAUGUAACAGCAUACAGACUAACAAUGAAGAAUCACUUUUUUUGUCCACAUCUAUCCGGGCCUGGUCCGGCAUGUACAUAAUAAUACUGUGAAAAUGAAACGAGUCACUCUGGGUUGUUUCAGCUGCUUUGAGCUCAUUCUUUCAAUCACAGAGUUAUGUUCUUGUUCUAUUCUGAAACUGGAACGAGAGAUCAAGAGAGACGAAUGAGAACGUGAGAGAUGAAUGAGAAAGUGAGAGACGAAAGAGAGAGAUAGACCUAGACAGAUCUGUGAAAAGGAGAGCCAGUCGGGUUGAAGAAAGAAGUGACGAGCAGAGGGAGAGCAGCAGAACUGUUCAGAUCAGAGUUUACAUUAUGCAAUUGGUUGGAGCAAGGGUGACGUACGCCUCUUCACUCACUUUGUGAACGCACCGGAAAAGAUAACAGGGUGCUGGUGAGACAGAAUCCUCCAGAUUCCCUGGCUGUUACGUCACAGUGAGCGUUACUGCUGAGACUCCUCCAGAUUCCCUGGCUGUUACGUCACAGUGAGCGUUACUGCUGAGACUCCUCCAGAUUCCCUGGCUGUUACGUCACAGUGAGCGUUACUGCUGAG